GCACCUUAUCCAGUGCCACUUCAGACUAGGCCCUCCAACGUGUUGGUUAAUUGAAUUAUAGUUUCGGAUAAGAUGUGGUCCCUGCCUUUAAAAAGCUUUUAAUUUAAUUAUGGAAGCAGCUACAAACAUCAAUCCAUUAUUCCAAGACAACACAUUUAUCCAUUCAUUCAGCAAGUUUUUAUUUUAGAGAAGAGAGAAAGCAUGUCCAUGCAUACCUGAAUCAUGGGGCAGAAAGUGAAAUGUGGUGCAGAGGAAAUUCAGGCGAGGAGCCACAAAAACUGAGAGCAAAGUGACUUUGCUAAGAGGCUCUGGGAAAAAUCUCAAAGGGGAGGAGCAAAUGCCCAGACCUAGGAGACUGGGCAGAAUUUGGACACAAGGAAGUCAUUGUGGGCUGACAGUACAGGGUCCAACAGAGGCAAAGAGCUGGAAAUGCAGGGAAAGAAAGGGGAACAUCCUCCUCUUCCAGCGGAGGAAGCUGGGUGAAGAAAGGAGAAGCAUUGCGCUGGUGUGGGAAGCACGGGGCCGCUAAGGUUGAAGUGAGUGGAGAUGGGAGGCGGCGGGAGUCACUAGAGGCUAGGAAGAGAGGCUCACACUACAGAGGGCCUUGAGUGCCAGGCUAGGAAAUCCAUAGGGGAAGAAGCCAAGACUCAAGGAGUUAAGAACUUUUCCAAGGGUAGCUAUUAGCCAGGACUCAAACCUACAUACUUGAAUGAAUUUCUACAACCUGUUAUUGAAGACUAAGGAGUAAGAAUUCUGCCGGAAGACUGUGUUGCCGAACCAAUCAGUUUGUCUAAAACUCUUUCACUCCCCAUCCCCAACUCCCUGUUGGCCUAGGGGCAGUCUGAGAGGGGGCUUAGAAUAAAUCAGAAGAGGGGUCUCAUUCAGAUUGUUUUGCUGUGAUCACAUGUGAGUCAGAUUUUUCUUCUGUAACAAGAGGUAGUUGAAGAGGUAAAUCCCUAAGCUUUCUGCCAUUGUAGACAGGUGUUCUUCUCUGAUCCUCAGGGCCACAGUCGGAAAGGAAGUUGUCUGCACUGAGAACCGGGAGGGAUCCCUCCGUUGCUUCCAUGAGGGUGCGGGACUCAUGGCUCUGGGCCUCCAAGGCACCACGGCCUCUGGCUCCAUUCCACCCUCCCCGCGCUCUCCUCAAACCUCAGGCUUCCUUUUUCUGCCUGCUGCAGGGCUUCUCAGCCUGGGCUGGAUCCUGGACAGACAGGCCCAGGCAGGCUGUGCACUGUGACCUGGGGCCUUGCUGUGAACAAAGAGGACUUCAAGAGGAGAUGGCCUGGAGGAGUUCGCCUUUGUGGUCAUUUUGCUUCAGUCCGUGACAACCUGGCUUCCAUCAAACCAAUCAGCCCAUCACCCAAUACUAGCUGUUCCAAAUAUAAAUUGUUGUCUUUGUCACUUUGCGUAGUCACUCUCCUCUUGAAAUAUACACAU
rnacentral:lncRNA from 1 species